rnacentral:rRNA from 1 species
GAUGAACGCUGGCGGCGUGUCUAAGGCAUGCAAGUCGAACGAGUACAGCCCGCAAGGGUUGUGCUAGUGGCAAACGGGUGAGUAACACAUUGAUAACCUACCCUGAAGUGUGGAAUAACUCCGCGAAAGCGGGGCUAAUACCACGUACGAUCUCCAAUCAUAUGGUUGGAGAGGAAAGGUCCGCAAGGAUCGCUUUAGGAGGGGUCUAUGGCUUAUCAGCUAGUUGGUAAGGUAAUGGCUUACCAAGGCUAUGACGAGUAGCGGGCGUGAGAGCGCGACCCGCCUCAGUGGGACUGAGACACUGCCCACACUCCUACGGGAGGCUGCAGUCGAGAAUCUUCCCCAAUGGACGAAAGUCUGAGGGAGCGACGCCGCGUGCAGGAUGAAGGUCUUCGGAUUGUAAACUGCUUUUCUCUGGGAAGAACA